UACGUAGGGUGCAAGCGUUAUCCGGAUUUAUUGGGCGUAAAGAGCUCGUAGGCGGUUCGUCGCGUCUGGUGUGAAAGCCCGCAGCUUAACUGCGGGUCGGCGCCGGAUACGGGCGGGCUUGAGUGCGGUAGGGGAGACUGGAAUUCCCGGUGUAACGGUGGAAUGUGUAGAUAUCGGGAAGAACACCAAUGGCGAAGGCAGGUCUCUGGGCCGUUACUGACGCUGAGGAGCGAAAGCGUGGGGAGCGAACAGG
rnacentral:rRNA from 1 species